UACCCGCGGCCCGAGUGGUGCUCAUUAUUAUUGAGCGUAAAGCGUCCGUAGCUGGCCGGGCAAAUCUCCGGGUAAAUCGGGCCGCUCAACGGUCCGAAUUCCGGAGACACUGCUCGGCUUGGGAUCGGGAGAGGGUGAAGGUACUCCCGGGGUAGGGGUAAAAUCCUGUAAUCCUGGGGGGACCACCAGUGGCGAAGGCGUUCACCUAGAACGAAUCCGACAGUGAGGGACGAAGCCCUAGGGCGCAAACGGGAUUAGAUACCCCGGUAGUCUAGGGUGUAAACGCUGCAGACUUGGUGUUGGGGGUCCUGCGUGGGCUCCCAGUGCCGGAGCGAAGGUGUUGAGUCUGCCGCUUGGGGAGUACGGUCGCAAGACUGAAACUUAAAGGAAUUGGCGGGAGAGCACCGCAACGGGAGGAGCGUGCGGUUCAAUUGGAUUCAACGCCGGAAAACUCACCGGAGGCGACGGAGGGAUGAAAGCCAGGCUGAAGACCUUGCCCGAUUCUCCGAGAGGUGGUGCAUGGCCGUCGUCAGUUCGUACCGUAAGGCGUUCUGUUAAGUCAGAUAACGAACGAGACCCUCGCCGUUAGUCGCAAUCUUACAAGCGAUUGUAGGAGCACACUAGCGGGAUCGCUGCCGUUAAGGCAGAGGAAGGAGAGGUCUACGGUAGGUCCGUAUGCCCCGAAUCUUCCGGGCAACACGCGCGCUACAAAGGUGGGGACAAUGGGACCCGACCUCGAAAGGGGGAGGCAAUCCUGAAACCCCAUCGUAGUCUGGAUCGAGGGCUGUAACUCGCCCUCGUGAAGAUGGAUUCCGUAGUAAUCGCGGGUCAACAUCCCGCGGUGAAUGUGCCCCUGCUCUU
rnacentral:rRNA from 1 species